rnacentral:rRNA from 1 species
UACGAAGGGUGCAAGCGUUACUCGGAAUUACUGGGCGUAAAGGGUGCGUAGGUGGUUGUUUAAGUCUGUUGUGAAAGCCCCGGGCUCAACCUGGGAAUGGCAAUGGAUACUGGACAGCUAGAGUGCGGUAGAGGGGUAGUGGAAUUCCCGGUGUAGCAGUGAAAUGCGUAGAGAUCGGGAGGAACACCAGUGGCGAAGGCGGCUACCUGGACCAGCACUGACACUGAAGCACGAAAGCGUGGGGAGCAAACAGG